GAUGAACGCUGGCGGCGUGCCUAAUACAUGCAAGUCGAGCGAACGGACGAGAAUCUUGCUUCUCUGAUGUUAGCGGCGGACGGGUGAGUAACACGUGGAUAACCUACCUAUAAGACUGGGAUAACUUCGGGAAACCGGAUCUAAUACCGGAUCAUAUUUUGAACCGCAUGGUUCAUAAGUGCAAGACGGUCUUGCUGUCACUUAUAGAUGGAUCCUCGCUGCAUUAGCUAGUUGGUAAGGUAACGGCUUACCAAGGCAACGAUGCAUAGCCGACCUGAGAGGAUGAUCGGCCACACUGGAACUGAGACACGGUCCAGACUCCUACGGGAGGCAGCAGUAGGGAAUCUUCCGCAAUGGGCGAAAGCCUGACGGAGCAACGCCGCGUGAGUGAUGAAGGUCUUCGGAUCGUAAAACUCUGUUAGUAGGGAAGAACAUAUGUGUAAGUAACUGUGCACAUCUUGACGGUACCUAAUCAGAAAGCCACGGCUAACUACGUG
rnacentral:rRNA from 1 species